UGCUCCAUGAAAGUGAGGUCAUCAUUCGUUUCAGGAAGUUGAGUGAGGCCUGAGACAGCAAUGUUUCGUUUAGCCUGGCGGUGGCCCUCCUUGUCUUCAAGAAGAGCAUCCGUGGCUAGCAGUGGAAGAUGGGGUUGGGCCCCAGAGACGCGAUCUUACUGCAUUGACCAGGAUGGUCUCAAACUCCUGGCUACAGGCUAUCCUCCUGCCUCUGUCUCCCAAAGCGCUGGGAUUACAAGCGUGAGCCACCAGGCCUGGCCCAAUUGCUUCUUAACAACUUACUAUUCUUUGUUCACUACAGUGUAUACAUAACUGACUUUUUAUUUGGAUCUUCAUUUUGUAAUGAAGGCUCUGGUCACAUGUAAGACUUGUAUUAAAUAAAUUUGCCUGCUG
rnacentral:lncRNA from 1 species